UGUAUAAUAAAAGUCAGCUUGCCGAUUUAUGGAUUUAAUGUUGAGAUUUUGGUUAAUAGUUGGACCAUUUGCUGAUAAAUGUUAUGCGUCAUUCCUUUUUCUUAGAUUAGUUAACCUGAAAUUGGAGGAAUUUGUGGUUUAGAAGCUAACCGGAGUGAUGUUUCUUGGAUCUUGAUCACUGAUGCUUGAUAUAUAUUUUUCUUGAUAUCUUGGCAAUAUGGUAGAUAGAGCAACAGCCGUUAUCAAAUUUCGGU
rnacentral:lncRNA from 1 species